rnacentral:rRNA from 1 species
GACGAACGCUGGCGGCGUGCUUAACACAUGCAAGUCGAACGGAAAGGCCUGCUUUCCCUUGUGGAUUGCGGGUACUCGAGUGGCGAACGGGUGAGUAACACGUGAGUGAUCUGCCCCCAACUUGGGUAUAAGCCUGGGAAACUGGGUCUAAUUCCCGAUAGGACUGCAGGGUGGUGCCUGUGGUGGAAAACGAUUUUCUAGUGGUUGGGGAUGAGCUCGCGGCCUAUCAGCUUGUUGGUGGGGUAAUGGCCUACCAAGGCGGCGACGGGUAGCCGGCCUGAGAGGGUGGACGGCCACAUUGGGACUGAGAUACGGACCAGACUCCUACGGGAGGCAGCAGUGGGGAAUAUUGCACAAUGGGCGGAAGCCUGAUGCAGCGACGCCGCGUGGGGGAUGACGGCCUUCGGGUUGUAAACUCCUUUCGACCGCGAGGAAGCCACCUGGUUGGAAGGGUGGUGACGGUAGUGGUAGAAGAAGCACCGGCUAACUACGUG